ensembl:lncRNA
AGUUACAUGCUGCCCUGACCUCCUGCUGUAGCUGUUAGACCUUGGUGUUAUUAGCCUGAUAUUAGAUACUGGCUAUAUUAGGUGCAUUAGAUCAAAAGUAAGCCGGAUACAUCUACCAUACAAGUUGCUGUGUGGCUGCUGACAACCCUCCUUAGCUCAAUGGAGAGCAUCUCCUUCCUAUGACAGGGAUGCUUUCAAACAGGAUCCGGGGAAGGGAGAAGGCGGCUGGGAGUGGCACCACCCCGAGCACUGUGCAGUGGGUUGGAAAUCUGCAGUGAGUAGUCAAGAACAUCCACACCAGCUCUGGAAGCAUCCUCAGCAGGGACUGGCACCUUCAUUUGGAUGGCAAUAAUGCUUGGAGGGGAACCAUGGGACUGUCAGAGGGACCGGGGCAGGAAAUGUUUUCAGGAGCCGCAGGGAAAUUAGAGAAAAUUAGCUGUCUGAAUUCUCUGCUGAUAUCAACUGGCCUAACACUGUGGAGCACAUUAAGUCGUUCUUGGAAACCAUCUGACACUGCUUCUCAUACAGGACAAUACUGACAGAAAAGUAUCCUGUGUGGGAGUCCUGCUCAGCACUGACCCUUCGGUGCAGGUCAAAUUGUUUGUUACCAGAGCAUCAGGCAGACCGUUUGGCAUAUGUGAAAAAUAUUAAGUCUGGAUGUAGAAAAGCUUUGGACGAGUUGCUCCUAUAGGUGAGAAACGGAGGCUGUGGUAGGGCGGGUUUCCUGCCCAGGAUCAGCAGCUUUCAAGCAUCCCUGAAGAGCAUCCCUUGGAGACAGCAGAAGCGAGAGCCAGACAGCUGUAGAAUGGUUUGUUCUCAACAGAUAACUCCAGAACUAUUUGGCAGGUGGGUCCUGAAAUGUUUAUGGCAGUGCUUGUGACUCCACAUCUGCGAAACGCUGCCUGGGCCGGAGCCUGGGGGGACAACAGCAGUGAUCUUUCCUGGCCACUUCUCCACAGGCCGCUCGGCGGAUUUUGGCACCUCCAGUUUUUACAUGAAAAAGCAGAUGGAGAGAGCACUUCUGAGAGAGUCUAACACCUUCUUAACCCAGAGAUACUUCCAGCAGAAAUCUGCUCGAGGCUCCAAGCGUUCCCCAGGCAGCUCUGGCUCCCCACAGUGCGACGCCUCACACUGAAGGGCUGUGGCCAUCAGGAAGGAGGUCCAGGGACAACAGAUCUUAGUGGGUGAAGCUAAUGUGGAAACUCAUUGAGUAGGGAGGGCGAGCCAAAUCUUUCAUGCCACAGGAAGUACUAAGUUGCUUUGAACCCAUAAGGCAUUCACUGGUAGAGAAGCAGCCAGAAGACUCUGCACAACCAGCCUGAACAAAAGCAGUGAGCACGUCAGGGAAAGCAAUCGCAGGACAGCGCCGGGUUUGUGGCUGGCUGCGUGCUCUGCUCUCGCUCAUCCUUGUUUUGGUGCUGGUGAGAGUGAGGUUACCUGGCUGUGGUGAGACAGCCAGGAAGGCUGACACUGCAUGGAGCUAGAGGAAAUGGGGCGUCACUUGGCCAGUGUCCAUCAAGGCUGGCACCAUUCACUGAUGGGCCCCCAAGGUGUUCUGUGUGAACCAUCCUCCUCCCGUGCCUCUACCACAGAAGCAACAGUGGGUGUUGUGCCUACUGAUGUCACCUCACAGACUAAAAGCUUAAGCAGCCUUUAAGCACAAGGUGAGGUUGCUUUAAGCUUCAUCUAUCUCCCCACAGUGUCUCUCCGCUUUGUCUGCAUCAAAUCAUAGAAUCACAGAAUGGGUAUUGUUGGAAGGACUUUAAAUAUCAUCUAGAUCCAACCCCACUGCCAUGAGGAGGACUGCUACCCAUCAGAUCAGACUGCCCAGGGCCCCAUUCAACUUGGCCUUGAAUGCCUCCAGGGAUGGGGCAUCCAACAGCUUCUCUGGGCAGCCUGUGCCAGGCCUCAGCACCAUAUGAGUAAAUAAUUUUUCCUAACAUCUGACCAAAAUCUCCUCUCUUUUAUUUUAAAGUCAUCCCCUCUUGCCCUAUCACUAGUAGACCAUGUAAAAAAGCUGUUCCCCUUCAGGCAUUAGCCUCGGCCUGCGCUGCAAGCAGCACCAUCCCAGCAUGGCUGAUGUUCCCUGUUCCCAUUGCUGGCAGCAAUUAAUGUCUGCUAAAGGAAGAUUGGGCCAGCCUUUUCUAUCCAUCCCACUGGCACUCCCUCAAGCUUUGCAUUACUUCACUGGAGCUGCACUGAUUUAUUAGAGCUCAGACAGAUCUGUAGUCAUAACAGGCUGGGAAAUAUUUUCUGUAUAGGCUCAAGAUUAAGGCAGGGGCUCAGACCUUACUCAGAGAAGGGAUUACAGUGGGGAUAAGUUUACCCCUGGCAGAUUUACCUAAUGAGCCCAGGUAGUGGUAACUGAGGAAGUAAUGGGAAAUUCCAUGCAGAGCCUAGCCAUUAGGGCCACUGCUGCUGAAGUAGAAUGCUGCUCUAUGGGAACCUGAUUUGUCAUGUCAUAUCAUACCAUAAGAUGGGCACUGCCACUGCCCUCACAGGACCAUCUCCUUCCUCGCUUGCCUUCUUUCCUCAUCAACCAAAGCCAAAGAACAUUUUGCUCUCUCUUCAGGAAGAAGAAAAUAAGAUGUACCAUAUCACAGCGGCAUUUUCUACCCUGUAGAAAAGCCUAUUCCUAUGCCCCUGUGAUCCCAUGGACACAUCUGUGCCAUGAGCAGCUCCAGUCAAACCAGGGACAUUCUGCAAGGAGUGAGGUGUCCCAUGGUUGGAUGCCUGUAGUACAUGCUACUCGCUGCCUUCACAAAACCACCACCAUGUGCUGGGUUACAUCAUGUCAUAGUGUAAUGCCUUUAAAUCAUUAAGCUGGCUUAUUUCUGGACCAGAGCCAGGAAAGCUGACGAAGGCCAGGCUGAGUUCAAAUAAAACCAGAGGACACUGUGGUUACAUUUAUGGUUUUUCAGAGGAUCUCUCACCUGCAGCCACAAAUCUGCCUUUAUUUGGCUUGAGCUUGAUCCAAAAUUACCUCAGAGGUCAGCAGUGCAUGUCUUAUGGAUUAGUGAAAACUACUGAGUAACCUGACGUAAUGCAUUAUUAUUAUUAUUCCAAGAAAAAAAGAGUGGCUGUAGUCCGUUGUUUCGUAAUAAAAGACUAGCAUC